GUGCUUGCUUUGGCAGCACGUAUACUAAAAUUGGAAAAAUAUGGAGAAGAUUAACAUGGCCCCUAUGCAAGGAUGACACGUAAAUUCGUGAAGCAUUCCAUUUAUUU
ensembl:snRNA U6 U6 spliceosomal RNA